rnacentral:lncRNA from 1 species
UCUAUCAUAACAAGUUUCAAGACUCCUGUUGUAAUGUCCCCCAAAAACUAUGUAUAUGAAAAAAUAGUACAAUUACAUAAAUGAAUAAACACUAUAGCUUUCUGGUUUCUAGUCAAUAUAUUUCUUACCUUUACCAAAAAAAUAAAAAAAUAAACACUAUAUAAGGGGAUAACGAAACGAAAAUUAUAAUUCCUACAUUAAUGAUACCAAAUAACAGGAACUUAAGUCGUACCCGGGUCAUUACUGCUAUUCCCAGCAGGGUUAGAUGGCAAAGCAUUAGGUAUGGUAUUCUGAGACUUUGUCUCCAUUGUCAGCAUCUUCAAACAUAUUUUCCUUAAAUAAUCGGACUAAAAGGGAAAGGAAGCAGAAAUCAUUUCAUCACUUAAUCAAAUUGGAAAGAAAAUGAAGCAUAUAUAAAACCUUAGCACAAUAUUACAGCAAUGAGUAAACCUAAUUUCCCUGGGGCAAAGCUAAACGUAAAUAUUUAACAGUUCCAGUUACUAUAUGGAUGCAUGCAUGAAUGAUAAAAAUUCUCAACAAAUUAUGCAAAUAAAAGAACGCUUCUCUUAAUUUUAAGCACAAGCCUAUCCAGUUUGUUUAUGCAUCCUCUAUCCACAUAGAAACUUCGUACCAAUUAAUCACAAAAGGCAUGGACAUCAUAUAAUACCUGGCUUAUUGCAGCAGUGUAAAUUUUUUCCUCAAAUCGCACGGCAAUUUUCUUGAGUUCUUGCAAACCCUCUGGACCAGAAACAGGAAGGUGUCGCUUCAAGGUCUCCAUUCUGCAUAUCAAAAGAGAUUUGCACUUGAGACGAAAUUCUUCUUACCAAUAAUUUUUUCUUUCCUUGACGAUAAAUAAGAUUUCACUAAGAAGGUACCAAAGGGGUGGCACCCCUAACAGAAUGGCUUUAGGUAGAAGCCACCCAUAAACAAAUUCAUGGCAAAAGACUUUUUUUAACAUUUCCAACAAACUAGACAUAUGAAACCGGACUUUCCUGCUACCAAAAGUGAGGAGUGUACAACCAAUUAUUCCUAAAAAGAAUCCCACAAGUAUUCAAUUCCUUGAAAUGCCCUUUUGUUCCUCUCUCUCUCUCCAAAUGAGCCUAAAAAAAGGAGAAAUGGUAAUCACUCUCUUUCCGAGCCACAAACUGAAAGCCCCUCUCCAAGCCCAAAUUUCAUGUCACGAUGUUCACUCCCAAUAUUGCAAAAACUGCAGCCCAGAAUCUUUCUGGUGCAGGUACAAUGUCAAAUUGAGUGAUUCACGCUCUCUUCUUCAGUCUUUGCACAAAAAACACCCAUUAGCCUGUACUUUCCCCUCCUCUGAGCAUUAUUUAAAGUAAGAAUACAUCCCCAAGCAUCUCAAGCAAAAAACGAAGCAUUCAAUGGGACCUUGACUUUCCAAAUAGAUGUACAUGGGAAAAGUGUACUCUGUCGUAAUAGCAUCUGAGUAGAAGGAGAUCAGAACAAUAGCAUUUGACAGAAAAAGUUCCAGAGUCACAGCAAUUCCACGUAGCCCAUCGUCCUCAAAUCUAACCUCGCUUGAUAAGACAACCCAAAAAAAUUCAAGAAGCUUCAUGCUUCUAAUCUAGAGCACUGCGCAAGAUAUUAAUCUCCCACGUCAUUUCUCCCAACAAUCAUCCACCCUAGCUCUCUUGUUUCUUUCUAGUGCAUACCCAUCCAGGAAUAACUGUUUGAACGCAGUGCCUCCUCAGCAUAUGUCAUCCCAUGACAUACUACUCCUACUAUUCCCCAACUCUAAUAGAAAGUCUGCUUUUGAAAGCAUCCCAUCCUUGCUCAAUGUCGAAUCCAUGUGCUCCUCAACUAGAUUUAGUCAUCUACUCUGUAUCUUCAAAACCAAGUACACUCCUCCAGUUCUAGUUUUCUCCCCAUUAAAUCAACACAACCAUUUCCCAAGCAAAGCUUCAUAUACAAGAACCGACAACUUUACCCCAACCCCUCAUUAACACCUCAUUGCCCACAUACCUCUUCCAGUAACAGCUUAUACAGACUAAUAAAUCUGAGAUUAAUACAAGAUAAUACAACCUACAAGCAAUGAGACGCUUAAAAUUCCUCAGGUUCCGGAUACAUGAAUUUUUGUUACCAGCAUAACAGGAAAUCAUCCUGCAACUGAUUUCCUCCCAAACCUUACCUCUACACUUAAGAAAGAAUUACAUCCAAAAUACAAUAACAAGAGUGGCCCCCCUGCAUACCUGCUAAAUCCCACAUCGCGGCGUACUAAACCUAACCCAAACUAUCUAACCAAAUAGAAUUUACAGCGAAAGAUUCCUCAGAAUUCACGUUGGGCCUCGACCAAUUAACAGGACCAUACUGCAAAACCAUUACUUCCUUUAACAUACUAAACCCUCGGAAAUCACUCCUAAGCAAGGAUCCCUCAUGAACUCCACACUUCUCGACAUUAAAAGACCCAAGCGAAGGAAGGAGGCACUCACAUCUUGUUGACGAUCCUAUCCCGCGAUUCGGACGGCAACCAAGUCCUCCAAUCGCCCCGGUCGAGCGCAGCUUCAGUGCCCCCGCCUCCCACACCGGCCGGCGGCGUCGGCCUCCAGUCAUUGUUAUCCAUCACUAUCACUCCUCAACGAACCCAACACUCGCAAGGGCCCUUCUACAAGCAACAAAAACCCACAAUCAGCACACACCCACCAACCCAAACGCAGAUUCGAGUCGCGCAACCAACACAAAAUCAGCUCCGAUUCAGGAACCCAAGAGAAAACCCACCACCCACGUCCUCCCAAAAAGCCCCAGAAAACCCAAAAACGAGAGUCGAUGAAAAGCACGAAAGAUCACUUGUUUGGCCGAAAUGCGAAGGGGGGAAGAGCGAGGGAGGGACGCAAGCCGAGACGAUUGGGCGAGAGGAACCCAAAAAGCAAGGCUGGCUUGUCUGUUCUCUAAAUGCCGCUCAUGCUUCAGUUGAGCAAUUAAUCCACGGAUUCUACAUUAAUUAAGAAAAUAUUAAAAAAAAAAAUUAAUCUAAACGCCAUAGAUGCUUUAGAAUGAUCACUUGAAAGCAGGGACAACUUUCAAACUUAGUGUCUAAUCUAGAAAUGACCAUAGUGAUCCUUAGAUAUUAAAAUUAAGCCAAUAAUAAUUGUUCUUCCUCAAGAUUAUGAAAAAUACAAUAAUUGUUCCACUUUUCACUUAUGGCCCAAUUCACUUUACUCUUAAAAAGUAGCAAAUUUUUCAUGGCCCAUGGAACCCACUUCUCUUUUUUAAUUCUAGAAAAUAUAACAAUCAUUCGAACAAUUGUUCAUCGAAUCUUCUUAAUCUUAUGGAGAGAGAUAAAAUAAGUGUACAUGUACAUAGUGUGCUUGAGAUCUGGUCGUUAUUUAAUUUCUUUAAAUUGUUGUCAUAAGUCAAUAUCAAACCAUUAUCAAAAAUUAAUUAUGGCAGAAAUUCUCCAAUUCAGUCUCAUCACAAUGAAUAACCAUAGGAUUGAAUAUAGGACAUGUUUUUUUUUUUUUGACUUACAAGAGCCUUUUCUUAUAGCCUUCCGUUCUAAAUUUCAAAAUAGAAAAGAAUCUCUAUAAUGACCAUAAAAGUAACACACAUUCAUAUAUUUGGAAAUGAAAGUCAAAUAUAAAACACUACAAAAGGAAAAGAAGAACAGGCAGAAGCCAAUUUCUAAUCACCUAUUUAUUGAAUAAACAUUGAACCUGCCUAAUUUUCAAAACAUAAACAAUAAUAUUGUUAUAGAGGCGAAAAAUUCAGAAAGGACUCCUUGGCUGAUUUAAAAGCAUCCUCGAUACUUCUUCCCCUUGGAAAAAGGCAAAUAAGAAAAGAGAGAAAGAAGAAGAAUCAUGCGUGCUGGUAUAACAAGAUCUAAAACUGGGUCUAAAGAUAACAAUUCUGAUACUACCCACUGAAUCUGUCUAUUAAUCUUGUUGGACUUUCAAGCUUCGAGUCCUGCAUGGGUUUGUCCUUGCACUUGGAAUGCAUUUGCUGGUGACACCCUGCACGGACCGAAAGAGCUGAGAAACCUCAACACUCGACCAGAUGAUUUACCAAGCACCGGAUUAACAUUGGAAAUAACAAAGCAAGCGCAAUUGGAAUCUGAGACCAGAAAUUGUAUCGUCAAAACAUCCAUCCUCCAUCAGAAAUGAGUUCACGAGACAUGCGAAAGUUGCAGCUCAAGUUACUGGGCUCUAAACCAGCCUCGAGAUCUCUCACAACAUCCACAACAUAACAAUAUUCAAUACUCCUAUGCAGCCCUUAGGCUUCGCCAGCCCCUUCUUUUCGAAUCAAGUAACAAAAUCUAUGGUGAUAAAGUCAUUACUAAUAGCUCGAAAACUUUCUUAGAAUCUUCCACUGUUGCACUUGUCGAUGAAAAGCAAACAUGAAUGCUACGAUUAGGGUCUUCCGGUACUCACAGAAAAUCGGGUGCCUUGCGCAGCUCUCUCUUGUUUAUUUUGUUAUUCAUUUUUUUUUUCGAAAUUUUACUUUAUACGUGAUUUAUUGAAUUUAAAUUUAUGGAGAUUACAUAAAAAUAUACGCUCUUAUCCAUUUCAUAAUCCAUUUAUUCCUUAAUUUUUUCAUAUAAUAAAUUAUAUUAUUAUACCUAAAAUAUGUAAUAAUAUAGAUACUGUAUAUACAAACUAAAUAUUAUAGAUAGAAAGAAAUUCAAAUAUAUAAUAAAAAUAUCAAUAAAUAAAAACGAAAUUUUUUGUCAUUUUGAAUUUUUUAAUUAUAGAAUUCACAUAUUAUUUAUAUUUAAAUAUUAUUUUAGUUUGAUUAUUUAACAAAUUUGUUAUUCUAGAAAAAUAAUUUUUAUACCAUGAAAAUAAUAAAUUCUAUCCAUUUUUAUUACACAUGAUAAUUAUCCCUAGGAUAAUUUUAUCUGGCAUAUAUCCUCUUAUAUUCAUUUAUGUCCUAUCUUGGGCAAGAACCAAACUCGAGAUAAAAUUAUUUUUUCCUGACUACCAAAUGCAGCCUAAAGAGAUCUUCCCACACAACCUGAAAACGAGAAUUAAGUUCUUUUAGUUCUAGCUACCUCUCUAUAUUAUUCAUUUCUCUUUCUUAGACUUUUGCCAUCUUAACACGGUGGGCACAGGCAAUUAGGUUUAGAAAGAAGCUACGGACAAACUCAGCACUCAGCAAUCGUGAUUAGUUAUCUACUUAAGUUCUCUUAAAGCCUCUCAACUGCAGCACCGACACGACUCCUUAGAGAUAAACUCCAUUUACUUUCUCCGUUAGCUUCAAAUGGAGCUAGUCUUGCAUACAAUGACACCGUACCCCAAUUAGGAUGUCGUGCCACGAAAAGAGAAAAAAGAGUCUGGUCUUAUAUCACAUUUUAAUGUCAAAUUUUAGUUUGAGCCUUCCGAAAAGCAGUGUUGUAAGACUUACAGACGAUCAUCAAAGCAGAAAAAUUCUGAACAUUCAGUAUUCUAUAAUGCAAUUGCUUCUUGACUGACCAAUUUGAACCUUGAUCAUGACUUCAUGUUGACUAUAAAGAAACUCAGAAUACGAUCAAGCUUUUGUUGAAGUCUUUUCGACUCAAAGUCAAUCUUAUAGUUACCAAGAGGAAAGCAAACUGCAGCUUUAAGAGCUCCACCAAGAGCAACAUUCCUCGGAUGCCACUUUACUGAUCUCAGUACUACCACCCACUAAAUAAAGAAACUCCUUUUUUCCACUUAGUAUCGGUCCAAUUUUGUGAAAAUUGAUUUAGUAGGCCAAUGCAUAACAGUUAAUAGACAAUACUUAAGCCUGGGAAGUGAUGCCUUAUAGAUCAAAUCAAAAAUUGCAGCAGUGGCCAAACCAACUCCAGCUACGUUAAAAACAUCACAUCCUCCUUAAAAAUAUGUCUCGAGUUUGAAAUCAUAAAAAAAGACCAAUCCAAGUGGGUUUCCUAAAUGAAGUUGGAUUCCUAGUUCAAGCAAGUUUCCUGUUGUGAUUCAAUAAGAGUAGCUUUUGGCUGUGACAAUCAAUUAUGUGGUGUGCUCAUAAAUUAUAUUUCAAGUGUUUGAAGCUGUGAAAACUUCAAAGACCUCGCAUUUAUAUAGCAUUAACCCACAUUAGAUGUGAUUGAUUCCAAUGUGAAUAUAUUUUAAAUAAGAGCUCGAAAUCUAUCCUCAAAGUCAACUUCCAACUUUCAAAAUCAAGAAUCAAGUUGACUCUCAAUCGGUUCAGGAAGUAGGCUUACAUUCAAAUCCAAACCAACUUCUAAGUAGCAUAACAUUUGCUCUAGGAAAACAGGGCGAAUAACUCAUGUCAUGGUGGUCAAAUCCUCAAUGGAUUUUCCAAGUUUUCAAUGAUCGAAACCCAUCAUCACUAUGAAAUCGAGAACCCCAACCCCUUUUCCCCUGACUUUGAUUUUACACCAAACAUAAUUGACCAUGGAGGCGAAUUUGAAAAUCAAGACUUUACAAAAUUCUGUGAUGAAUUUGGUUUUCAGCAUGUGUUCUCCUCUUCAUAUACUCCAGAGCAAAAUGGAGUCGUGGAAAGGAAGAAUAGAUCCUUUUAAGAAAUUGCUAGAACAUUUUUAAUUAAAAGUAACAUAUGUUCGUGGAAAGGAAGAAUAGAUCCUUUUAAGAAAUUGCUAGAACAUUUUUAAUUGAAAGUAACAUAUGUUCACGUUUUUGGAUUGAAGCUGUUUCUACAGCAUGUUAUAUUAUUAAUAUGUUCACGUGUUUGAAUGUAAAUAUUUUAUUUUGAAAAAUGCAAAUGAUCGAGUUGGGAAGUUUGAAGAAAAAUCAGACGAAUGGAUCUUUCUUGGAUAUUCAACCACAAGCAAAGCUUACAGAGUAUACAACAAAAAGACUCAAUCUGUGGAGGAAUCAAUGAAUGUCAAAUUUCAAGACUCUAUGCAAAAUGAAUCGAUUCAGACUCAACUUGAAGAAUCUGAACCUACUCUAGACUCUACAAAGUCUAAAUCUCCAGAAGCAGCUCAGACUUCAGAAGACCAGCAACAAAUGAUAAUCGAAGAAUCAAAUGAGGAAAAAGAUUAACAGUCUGACAAAUCAACCAGCAACUAGAAGCAUAAGUCUAGUCAUCCCACAGAUCUCAUUAUCGGUGAUAUUAAUGAAGGAAUUCGCACAAGAUCCAAAAGGCGCAAAGAAUCUAGUGCUGUGACUCUUAUUUCUGAAAUAGAACCCAAAAGUAUAGAAGAAGCUCUAUCUGAUGAAAGUUGGAUUGAAGCCACGCAAGAAGAACUCACGCAAUUCAGUAUUAAUGAUGUUUGGGAAUUGACUCUUAAACCGAAAGGUAAAUCCAUCAUUGGAGCUAAAUGGGUUUUCAGAAACAAGAUGAAUGAGAAAUGAAAGGUUGUAAGAAACAAAACAAGACUUGUGGCUAAGGGAUAUACGCAAGAAGAAAGGAUAGACUAUGAUGAGACUUACGCACCAGUAGCAAGGUUAGAAGCAAUUAGAUUAUUACUUGCUUUUGCUUGUCAUAAGAAUUUCAUGUUAUUCCAAAUGGACGUCAAAAGUGCUUUCUAAAUGGAUUUAUCCAAGAGGAAAUAUAUGUGGAACAACCACCCGGCUUUGAAGACCCAAGGAAACCAGACUAUGUUUUCAUAUUGAAAAAUGCUUUAUAUGGUUUAAAGCAAGCACCUCGAGCUUGGUGCGAUAGAUUAAGUAAGUUUUUAAUCCAAAAUGGUUUUGUCAAAGGUAAAGUAGAUACUACAUUGUUUAUCAAAAGAGAAAGCAAAAGUUUUAUACUUGUUCAAAUUUAUGUUGAUGAUAUUAUUUUUGGAUCUUCUAAUGAAAGUCUGUGCAAGAAAUUUUCUAAGUCUAUGUAGGAUGAAUUUGAAAUGAGCAUGAUGGGUGAACUAACCUUCUUUCUCGGGCUCCAAGUAAAACAACUGAAUGAAGGAACCUUUAUUCAUCAAGAAAAGUAUGCUAAAGAUCUUGUCAAAAAGUUUAGACUGGAGAAUUGCAAAAAGAUUGAUGUACCAAUGUCAAAUUCCUUGAAAUUGGACAAAGAUAAAGGAGGAAAGAAAGUCGACCAGAAGCUAUACAAAAGUAUUAUUGGUUCACUUUUUUACCUUACUGCUUCUAGACCUGAUAUUUUGUUUAGUGUUUGCAUUUGUGCCAGGUUUCAAUCAGACUCUAGAGAAUCUCACUUAAGUGCUGCAAAACGUAUUAUCAAAUACAUUGCUUCAACUUCAACUUUGGGUCUCUGGUAUCCUAAAAAAUGAGACUUUACUAUUCUUGGAUACUCAGACGUAGACCUAGCCGGAUGCAGAGUUGAUAGAGAGAGCACAUCGAGUACCUAUCAACUACUUGGAAGUAGGACAGUGUCUUGGUUUUCAAGGAAGCAAAGUACAGUAGCUCUUUCUACAACAUAAGCAGAAUAUGUAGCUCUUGGAAGUUGUUGUUCAAAAAUUUUGUGGAUAAAACAACAGUUAAGAGACUUUGGAAUUGAAGAUUCAUGCACUGAAACAAAUGUGACAAUACCAGCGCAAUCAAUCUCACCAAGAAUCCGAUUCUUCACUCAAUGGCAAAACAUAUAGAGAUUCGACAUCACUUCAUUAGAGAUCAUGUUCAAAAUGGAGAAGUUUCGAUUCAGUUUAUUGACUCAAAGAACCAACUAGCGGAUAUAUUUACAAAGCCUUUGGAGAAAAAUCAAUUUGAAGCUAUUCGUUCUAGACUCAAUAUCUUAAAAUCUGAGGAAGUUCAACCCAGGACUGAAAGUCUAAAGGCACUCAGACUCAGACGAUCAAGAUUUUUUUUUGUAAGUUAUUUUAUUUUAUUAUCUCUCCAAUCAAAUCUCGAAAAGGUACGAUCAUCAACCCGUAAUUGAUUGUUGCUAUUUUUAAUUUCCGUGAUUAUUGCAAUCUGUCCUUCUCGGAAAAACAAAUUUUUUUUUAAAUGACAGUUAUCUAAUUUUUGAAAAGGCAGUUAUUUUUAAAAAUGCAUCUUUAUAUUUCUUUUUUACGACGUUCCGUAUGCCUCUCUUCGACUAUCCUAUAUACUAUCGGUUCUUCUUCGUUUUACUCACAAAAACCCUAAGAGAGCACCGAUCUUCCAUUUCUGUCUUCUUCUCUUGUUUAAUCUUCGAAAAGUUGUCAUCUUUCUUGGGAAAACAAGCUUGGAAUCUCUAAAAAAAAAACUGUGAAAAAUGUCUUCCCAAAAAAAGUUUUCGAGGAUCGCGAAUAGGGGACCACAGUAAAUGCGUGAGGGACCUACGCACUUUGAUCUCACUGAGGAAGAAGAAUCCCCUAAUCAGCAACAGAGCCCACAACAUUCUCAGCAGCGUCCAUCUCCUCCGUCUAGACCUCAAGAUGUUGCACAUCAAGAAGAGGAAGAAAUCAUCGAAGACGCAGAACCCAUAAGAACUCUUAAGCCUGGCUUUACUUAUAAGCUUUACCGUACUUUGAAGAGGGGUAGUACUCCUUUGAACUACAUUGAUAAAUUUUUAAGAGAAAAAGGGUAUCGAAAUGAAACCUAUUUUCUACGCACAAUGGAAUGAUUGGGAAUUGCCCCUACUGGAUCGGCGGAAGAGGCAUUGGCAAAUAUCCCAACUGAUCCACGUGUUGGAGGGCUGAAUCAGCCAAAUGGGAAUGACGAUGGUAGGAUGUACAAUCAGUUUAAACCGAGAAUGGGUGUUGCGGAAAAAAUCCGAAGCAAAAUGACAGACUUGUUUCGAUCGGAGGAACACAAGCAACUUUACUCUAAGUUGCUGAAGCGUGGGGUGAUAAACUCUAAAAGUGUGGAUUUUGAUUUUCUUGACUCUGUGAAUGUCAAUUUGUGGGAGAAAUUCAGUCUUCUUCAACUCGAACAGUUUUGUUCUGAAAGUACAGAAGCCUAUGCUGAACUUACUCUUAUUUCUAUUUGAAUCUUAGUUUCUUGGAUGCGAAUAGAUUCUCUUUUAGUGUUCGAGAUCAGGACUAUGUGGUUGACAUGAAUACUUUGGCUGAUGUGAUUGGGGUUGAAAGAGGGAGAUAUCAACUUAUCAGUGUGUCUAUUGCUCAUGCAACGUUGGAACUUGUUAAGGAUCGAAGAACGGAAGAAAAGAUUUCCUAUUUGAGGAUGAAUGCAACCAACAUUCUGCUUCACAAGAUUGUGAUUAACUGCCUCAGACCAAAAUCUACUUCAAAGACCGAUGUUUUAAACUUGGAGGCAAAGUUGAUGUAUGCCAUCAAUGCUGGGAAAAAUUCUCUCUUCCACACACUAUUAUGUUCCACAUGUACAGGGCAGUGGUGAAGGACAAUGGCCAACUUCCUUAUCCAGCUCUUGUGACUAAGUUAUUCAGACAUUUGAAUAUUCAGCCUCCCCGAAUUAUUUGUGGUCGAGCAAGUGAUCAAAUGGUGGUGGGACUGAAAAUAGUCUCUAAAAUGUGUCUAAAGGAACUCAACAAGGAAUUGGAGAAGUUUAAGGAGAAAACCCCUGCCAAGACUCAUCAAAUCUCUUCGGCUGCAAAGAGAAAAAGAAAGGAGUCCAUGGUUGCUCCAUCCAAGAAAAGAAGAGCUCUCAUCAUUGAGGAUGAAGAGGAUGAAGGUGAUAUCACCAUUUCUGCAAUGGCAUUGAAGAACUUGAGUCAUUCUGCACCCGAAUCAAUGGAGAGACAGGAAAUAGACACGGCUGAAACAUAAGUGAAGAUUUUGAGAAAGAAGUAGAGGAGAUAGAUGCAAAGGAGGAAAGAAUUGAAGAAGAAAAAGAAGAAGAGGAGAGAGUAGCAAAAGAAAAUGAAGGACACUCUUCUCCACCUGAAGGCAUGGAAAUAGGGGGAGAUCCUGAGAAAAGAGGAACAUCCUCAAUCCCUGCUACCAGUGAAGGAGUAAGUCGCUCUCCAGCAGAUCCAGAGGACAUUUAUGCCUCACAAUUUCCUGAGGAGGGACACGAUGUUUCAUCGCCCAAUCUGCGUGACAAUGCUGAUUUGCCAUCAUCUGCUUAUACACCGUCUAAUCAUGCAGAAGCAGAUACUCAGACUGAUAAUUCAACAGACUUUCGCAGAAUUCUUGAAGUUCUUUUGGAGAUGAAAGGUCAAAUCUAUGCUCUAGGAUGCGAACUUCAAAAUAUGCAGAAUGCAGGACAAGCUUCUUCAGUUUUUUUUUUAAUGAUCAACUCCAAGCCCUUGCUCUUCAAGUUCAGGCAAAUGCUAAGGGUGAAGAAGUAGCACAACUGAAUGAGGACUUGAAAAAGCUGGAAGGCAUUUUCCAGUCAAUGGGAGAUUCCCAGCUUGUUCAUGUUCCCAAGCCAUGUUAAUUUCAUUCUCUUUUCAUCUCUACCUUUUUAAUGAUGACAAAAAAGGGGAGAGAUAUGCAGAUUUGACUGUUUGGCUAUUUUAAAAACUUUUUUGAUUGACUUGAUGUUUGUGUUUGGCUAUUUGGAUUUGGACUGGAUUUGGAAUGGACUGUUUGAACAUCUGUUUAUCUUAAGUAUUAUUGAUAUCUCAUGGCCUUGUUCAUAAGACUAACCUACUUUCUGUGGAUACGGAUUCCAGUGUUAUUACUAAGCCAUUUAUCUUUGUGAGAUAUCCAUAUUUGCUUGAGUAAUAUUUUGCAGAUCAAAGUUAUCCAAAUUUGCAGGAAAGUUUUGUCACCAUCAAAAAUGGGAAGAUUGUUGGAGAAAACUUCAUUGAGUGUUUUGAAACUGACAAAACGUUUCCAUCAGUCUAGUCUGAAGUUUUGCAAACUCUUCCAUCAAAGUCUGAAGAUUUUCGGACUGCCAGACUCAAGACUCAAAUUCUAUCCUCAUUAACAGUUUCUAGUCCGUCGAAAAAGGCUUAUCCAAGAUUGGAUGUUUCGUUAAGGAUUUGAUAUUAUCGACUGGAGUAGAUCUUCUGGCUGGAUAUAGCAUGUUGAAAUCCAUUAUUCAAAUCAAGAUUGAUUUGGGAAUCGUGGAUCCGUUGAUUGGCGAAAUAUACUUGGAAGGUUCUACUUAUGGAAACCAAGAUCCUGAUUGUAUGGGCGAGCAGGAUUGAUGGGCUAUCGUCAUGUUCCUUAAAUAGCUCGAAGAUCUUCCUAGUUGAUUCUGUCCAACGGGUAGAUUGGAAUAAUUCCUUUGAUAAGUGCCAACUGAUAUGAUGGCAUAAAGGAGUAUAUAAGGAAGUCGUUCUAGUUGUUCAAGAGUGUGCGCGAUAGAAGAAUUCCAAAGUCUGAAACUCCUUGUUCUUAGUCAAUUCAUUUAUUGAGCAAAAUUUCGUACGCAAAAUAGAGUCUAUAUCUUUGAGAAACCUUGUGGAGGUGUAGUAAAAUCUCUACACUAUAGAAUCAAGGGAGAGCUUUACUGUAACAACUCUUUUAUUCAUAGUGAAAUCCAGCCGGUGGGCUGUCAGUGCGGAAGAGUGGACGUAGGCUUGGAUUAAGCCGAACCACUAUAAACUAUGUGUUCAAAUUCUCUUCCCUACACUCUUUUACUUUGAUCAUAACUUGUUUAUUCGAAAAGAGAGGAAUUUCCUUUUCAUAAUCCAUUGUUGAUUUGUGCUGAACUUAUUUCGCAAAAUUGUUUUUGCACCUAUUCACCCCCCUCUAGGUGCACAUACUAGCUUUCACAAAAAUUAGGUCACGUAGUUAAAGUGUAUGUUUUAUGGCAAAGUUCUAAUUUCAAGAUAAAAGAAAACCCAAAAAAAUUGCUUACUUUGUGCGUUUAAAAUUUUUUAUGCAAUUUAUUUGAUUCAUUGAGUGUUUAAUAAUGAUUGAGCAUCCAUGUAAUCCUCUAAUCUCAUGAUAGUAAUUGAGGUUAAAAUAAAUCUAAACUGCUUACAAAGAGCAAUGAGAAAUCUAGUGUAAUCAAGUCCUCAUAUCCAAAGUCUUUGAUUCAUAAACUGAUUAGUAAAAUAAUUCUUUCAUUAUUUUGUUUAGCUGACUAAUCGACCUAUCAUAAACUGAUUAGUGGCGACUCUUACUUAAAAUUCAUUUACAUGAUAAAAAAUUUAAAGUUAAGUCGCAAAUUGAUAUGGACUUAGAAGAGCCCGACCUAAUUCUAGGCUUAGAAGUUCAUUAGCCAAACCCCUAGGUGAUCCAGCCCGCUUCCGAGAGGUCGCAACAUUAUAUUUUUUCUAAGUUGGGUUUAAAGUACUUUGUUACUUUUGUAGAUGAUUAUUUAAGAGCCCCUUGGCCUGUUAACGAAAUAAUACUCAAUUUUUAAUUCAUGUUUGUAUUCUUCAAAGUGAUAAUGCCAAAUAUAUUUUUCUAAUCUUUUUUUUUUGGUAUUUUAAUCUUUAAAAAAAAAAAUUCAUGACCCAAUGGGCAUCCAUCAUCAAUCUUCCUAUUCGAAGUUAAUCGAUCAUUGAUGUUUGAAAUGAAGGCAGACAAAUCCUUUUAGGCUGACACUAUGAUGACUGCAUGUUAUCUUAUCAACUACACACCAUCUCUAUUCUUAAGGCUCCAACUCCACACUCUCUUCUUUUUUCUUCUAAAUCCUCUUUUCAUCUACCACUUUGUAUAUUUGGUUAUGUUUGCCAUAUUUGUGACAAUUAUCCAAGGCUUUCCAAACUAGGCCCUCAGUCUCUUAAAUGCAUUUUUGUGGGAUAUUAUCCUAUGCAGAAGGGUUAUCACUAUUAUUGUUCUUCUUUGCAUAAGUAUUUUACAAUUGCAGAUGUUUCCUUCUUAGAGUCUAAUGUUUAUUCUAAUGAAUGAAUGGAACCUUCUAUAGUGGAUGAUGAUUUCUUUACAUAUGUUAUUGUGAAAUCCACUUUGGAUUCUCCACCAAUUCCUCUACUAGUCCAACAUGUAUAUAGUAAUCGUCCUCAUUAGCAUAUGAGUUAUUUGCAUAUGUAACUUUGCCUAUUUUGUCUCAUUCAUCCUUUAAGCCUGAGAUAAGUCUACUAUUGCACAUCGCAAAGGAGUUCGUAGUUGUACCCAGCACCCUAUUACACAAUUUGUCUCAUGUUCUAGUCUGUUUACCUCUUUUCAAACUAGUCAAGUCGCCAUUCAUAAUCCUAUUCCUAAAACUAUUGCUGAAGCACUAUCUAGUCCAAGCUAGAGGACAGCUAUGGAGGAGGAGCUAUUGGUAGUAGACCAAAAUCAGACUUGAAUUCUUAUUCCUUUACUUACAAGGAAGAUUGUUAUUGGAUAUAAAUGGGUGUUUAUUAUCAAGCUUAAUAUUUGUGGUUCCCUUGCUCGCCUUAAGGCUAGAUUGGUUUCUAAAGGUUAUGCACAAAUUUAUGAGAUCAAUUAUGGGGAUACUUUUCCUCCAAUGGCUAAGAUGACCUUUGUUCGCCUUUUGCUUUCUUUAGCUACUAUUACUUUUUGACCUACUUUUUAGCUUGAUGUUAAAAAUGCCCUUCUUCAUGGUGAUUUACACGAAAAAGGUGUAUAUGGAGAUGUCUACCAUUUGAAGACAUCUUUAUAUGGUUUCAAACGAUCUCCCAUAGCUUGGUUUGGAAGGUUUAUUGAGGUGGUGCUCUUGUUUAAAUUUAGUGGAGAUCUUUUUAUGUUUUACAGUUUUUUUGGAGUUAGUUGGAUAUUACUUAUAGUUUUUGUAGGUGAUAUUAUCACAACUGAAGAUGAUUUUACAAAGAUUGUUUAGCUAAAAUUGUAUUUGCAACAAUUGCUUCAAACAGAGAAUUUGGGACAACAUAAAUAUUUUUUGGUAUCGAAGAGACACAGGCAAAGAAAAGUAUUCACAUCUCAUAUCAUAGGUAUGUUUUGAAUUUGCUUAAAACUUAAACAGCUAGAUACACCAACGGAAAUUGGCUCGAAAUUAAUGGUAGAGGACAACAAGUUUUAGAUGAUCCUAAAAGGUAUCGAAGACUUGUUGGAAAAUUAAAUUAUGAGAUUGCACUCAACCUAAUAUUUCCUUUCAUAUUAGUGUUUUGAGUCACUUUGUGUUUCCCCCCAUAUCUCUCGUUGAGAUGCUACAGUCAGAAUUUUGAUAUACUUGAAAAAAGCUCAAAGUCGUGGUAUUUUCUAUAGUGAUCAUAGGAGGUUGGGACACCUGGAGUGCCAUAACUUGACACGGAGGGACACUUAAGUGCCAUAACUUUAAAAUGGUACACUUAAGUGCCAAUAUCGAAGUAAAAUGGGACACAUAAGUGCCACUCCGGUGAAAAUUCGGCCAAAUAGCUGACGUGGCAAUUUUCCGGCGAGUUUGGUCCAAAAUGGCGUCGUUUUGCACGCUGACGUGGCGGAGAAAACGCAAAAACGACGCCGUUUCGUGUCUACGUGUAAAUAAUACUAUACAAAUUAAUUAAAUUAGAUUUAAAAUAUUCAAAAAAUUUAAAAAAAAAUUUAAAAUUUUAAAAAAUUAAGAAAAUUUAAAAAUUUUAAAAAAUUAAGAAAAAAUUAAAAAAUUAAAAAAUUAAAAAAAAAGGGGGGGAGGUCGAACGGAGCGACUCCCUCGCCGCCGCCGCCUCCCCGCCGUCGCCGGGAAGGGCCGGCAACGGAGGGGGGAGGGUCGGCCGGGGUCGCCGGCCCCCGGCCGACCGACGGCGAGGGCCCUCGCUGCCUCCCCGCAGCCGCCGGGAAGGGCCGGCGACGGAGUGGGGAGGGUCGGCCGGGGUCGCCGGACCUUGGCCAGAUCUGGCGAGGGGUAGAGGGCCCUCGCCGCCUCCCCUAAGCCGCCGGGAAGGGCCGGCGACGGAGUGGGGAGGGUCGGCCGGGGUCGCCGGGCCCUAGCCAGGGGCCGGCGAGGCCAGUCGACCGGCGGCGAGCGCCCACGAGCCCUCACCCAGAUCUGGGGCGAGGGUCGCGGCCCUCGCCGUCGGUCAACUGGGGGCCGGCGACCCCGGUCGACCCUCCCCCCUCAUCGUCGGCCCUUCCCGGCGACGGCGGCGAGGUAGCCGCCCCGUUCGACCCCCCCCCCCCCCUUUUUUAAUUUUUUUAAUUUUUAAUUUUUCUUAAUUUUUUAAAAUUUUCUUAAUUUUUUAAAAUUUCUUAAUUUUUUUAAUUUUUCUUAAAUUUUUUUAAAAAAUUGAAUAUUUUAAAUUUAAUUUAAUUAAUUUUUAUAUUAUUAUUUACACGUAGACACGAAACGGCGUCGUUUUUGCAUUUUCUCCGCUACGUCAGCAUGCAAAACGACGCCGUUUUAGACCAAGCUCGCCGGAAAGUCGCCACGUAAGCCAUUUGGCCGGAUCUUCAUCGAAGUGGCACUUAAGUGUCCCAUUUAACUUCAAAACUGACACUUAAGUGUACCAUUUUAAAGUUAUGACACUUAAGUGUCCCUCGGUGCCAAGUUAUGGCACUUGCGUUGUACUUCUGCCGUGAUCAUAGUCACAAAAGGGUGGAAGUAUCUUUGGAUGUUGAUUGGGCCAAGUCUCCUACAAAUAGGAGGUCUACAUCAAAUUAUUGCACCUUUGUAGGAGGAAACCUAGUGUCUUAGAAGAGUACAAAGCAAAGUAUUGUGACUAUAUCCAGUGCAUAAUCAGAAUAUAGACUUACGGCCUAAGUUACUCGUGAGUUAGUCCAGAUGCGUCAAUUAUUAGUUGAACUUGAAUUUAAAGAUUCUACGCUAAUGGAAUUGUGGUGUGAUUAUCAGGCAAUUAUCCAUAUAUUGCUUCAAAUUAUGUAUUUCAUGAGUGUACUAAGCCUAUUGAAGUUGAUUGUCACUUUGUCCGCGAGAAGCUUUAAGUUGGAGUUAUUUCUACUAAAGGGCUGAAUGGUUUUCUGCUAAAAAACUGUCCCUGAAGGGUUUGAAUGGGUUAUUCGCCCACUGUGGGAUGCAUACUUGCAGAAAAUUUACUCUCCUUCCCUAGUUCUAAGUCUAGGUCCAUUCAUGGUAUUAGAGCCAUGGUUUCGUUUUUAAGGUUUUCCAUUCCAUGCGCUUGGUAGGUGAAUCCAGUGCUGAGAAGAUCGUUUCUCAUCAUGUCUACAGAACCAUAAAUCCUCGAAGCACCUGUUUCUCUUGCUCCAUCUCCCUCAUCUUCCACCCCCUCAGAAUUUCAUGUCUCCAAUGAUUCUAAGAUAGAUUAUCUCUACAAAGUCUCUCUUAGUGAUGAAACCAAGAUUUCUUAAACCCAACUUCCUCUCAUGAACCUUUACUCCGCUUUUGCCAAACCCAACUCGUCAUUUUCACCCAUCCGCUCCAUUCGACAACUCAUUCAUCAUACCCCAAAGCAAGUAAAGGAGUAUGUCCAGUCCUCCAAAUUCGACCAACAUCCGAUACUUGCUACUGAAAAAGAGUACUUUGUUACUCUCCAGAUUCCUCCGGAAUUUCCUAGACAAUGGGUUCAGUGAAGAUAUUUUCAUGUCAAUUAUGGCGUUGUUCGUCUUGCUCUCACCUUUCAUGGUCGUAAAGGCUUGCCAGUUGUGGCAAUAAUUACGUUGUUGGAUACUAGGUUUUUACAAUACCAAUAUGCUUGCAUUGAUACUGUCCAAACUACUUUGAAUGCUGGAACAGUCUUUGUGACUUUGUAUCCAAGCUUCAACAUCACUCUUUCAGACCCUCAGCUACUCUCUUUCUUAAAAGUUCAAGUUCAGCUCACUGGAGCUCCUCAAACUGCUGACUCUGUAGCUGCAACACUACACUACCAGAUGGUUUAUCGAGUGCAGAACCAUGCUCUUGAUCUAAAAUUCAACAAUGGAAAUGAAGAUACUUUGUUCAUCUCCAUGCAGAAUGAUCAAGCAUCCUGCAUUCAUGUUCCUAGACAGAUUUCGAAAGAUAUGUUGGCCAAGCUCCUUCCAGAGACUUGGAUUACCAACUACGAAAAGCUGCACCAGCAUAACAAGCCUUUCCAGUCUACGGACUCUGAGUUUGUUCGGAAAAAAAGAUGGAACUGUUUCCAUCAAAUUUGGCAAGGAAAAUGAAGAAAGUCUUUUUAUCUUCCAAACCAUUUCAUGAUCAAACCAUGUGUUCCUAAAUCAAUUUCCGAGCUAGAGCCAAAAAAGCUUAUUCGACACUUUAAUAGUGAUAGACAUCCUAUCCAUUACUACAAAGACCAGUAUGGUCAUUGUUUUUGGGAUCCUUUUUGCCAAUGUUUCUAUUGUACAAAUUCCCCUGAUGAGGUAGACCCUUUUGCAAAACCUCCACCUCGACAGAAAAAACCAAAAGAUCCCAUAUACCAAAGGUACUUAAACGGAGAUCCAUCCGUUGAUACUCUUGAUGAGUGUGAUAAAUACCAGUUCAUGGUUUCAUAUGCACCACCUCCACCACUAGAGUUCAGUGCUACACCCCAAGUUCCACCAGAUCCACCAAAAUCAUCCCCACCAUCUCCUCCUCAAAAGAAGCAAGCUCUCUCUCCGUUUUAUAAGCCAAUCCUAAAAUGGGCUAAGAAGUAUUCUUACCCACUUGAGGUUCCAAUAGAAACAUCACAUACUUCUUCCAUGACCAUGUUCCAAGAAGCAAAUUUUCCUUCACUUGUCAGGGAAAGUUCAAAACUCUCGUUUCCUGCUCUAGAGGAAUUCAUUGAUCCACAAGGCAGAUAUUGUCAUGCUCCUAAGAUAGCUGCCCCCACUGAUGUAGAUGAACAUGGACGACAGAGAAGAACUCUUGCUGUUGAAGCCGUUUUAAAUUGGCAAUCGGAGACUCUGUUAGCACAAAACAAUGCCUUAAAGCAAUUGAUUCCAAGAUUGGAAAUGUGCAACAAGAUCUUCGAAAGUAUGAUGAGACCACCAAGAAAAUGAUUUCUGAAUUCCAAAAGAGGCUAAAUGCCUUGGAAUCAGGACAACAUUUAGGGUAUCAUCAUCUUGAGAGCCCCAAGUCGGAGAUAAAAAAAGUUCAAGAGGCAAAUCCAACUCCUUGAAGAAGGAAGGUUUUAGACCUUUUGAUCCACUGGCACCUCUUAUCAGAAUUAAGUAUUUGCCUCCAAAACCCCAGUCGUCUAUUUUUGCUACCAUCCCAGAAAAUUCUUUCAGAAAAGAACUAGAUAUGGCAGAAAUGCGAAAUCGUCUAAAAAAUCUACAGAAGGACAAAUGAAAAGAAAAAAUGCUUACAAAAUCAAGUUCAAUUGUUAUAAAAGAAAGGCCAAAUUAGAUGAUGUUAUCAAAUCCGCUAGAAUCUUUUCUAAAGGAUUUAGGUACUCAGAAACAACCUAAACCUGCUAUUCAACAGCCUAAUCCCGCCAUUUCAAAUGAUUAGAUUCUGCUCCCAGUCGAACAAACUGUUCCUACCACUUCUGAUACCGAAUCAGAAUCAGUAUCAUUUUCCUCCUCUUCAUCCUUUUUAAUUCCUGAUGUUGAUUCCCUUCUUGUUGCACCAGUAAAUUCAUCAAUAUUCAUGACUGAUCCUCCAGAUCAGGAUAUGGAAUCAAAUUAUUCCGAGCCAGAGAUUGUUCAGAACAAUCCGGGACACCAUGUAUCAAUGGCUUCAAAACAGUUUUUCACCAUAGAUGACAUCCCCUACCACAAAUAGCUAGAAAGACUCGAAGAGUUUCAUACUUGGUUGAAUACUCAAUCCAUUACCAAUCAUGAUAUGAAUGAUGUCAUCUACAACUUUGUCACAAGGUUCAUGGGAAGCCUUAAACUUUGGUGGAAAUCUGUGUCAGACAGACCAAAUUCAUUUUCUAAUGUCACCUGAUUUAGCCAUGUCAUCACUCUNNNNNNNNNNNNNNNNNNNNNNNNNNNNNNNNNNNNNNNNNNNNNNNNNNNNNNNNNNNNNNNNNNNNNNNNNNNNNNNNNNNNNNNNNNNNNNNNNNNNNNNNNNNNNNNNNNNNNNNNNNNNNNNNNNNNNNNNNNNNNNNNNNNNNNNNNNNNNNNNNNNNNNNNNNNNNNNNNNNNNNNNNNNNNNNNNNUAUCUUAGAUGGUUGAAAGAUCUUUUUUUGGAAGAUAGAGGAGAGUACAAGAUAUUCCCUUGGGAGAAAUACAACAAGAAAUCCAUAUGUGUCUUGAAGAAUUGUGCCUGAAGUGCUAGAUGGUCCGUACCUACAUCAUAGAUGACAGAGAACUCGAGAUAGUUUGCUCUCGCCAAAAUUUAAAGAUCAAAUAUUCCAAGAAAGACUGUGAUGGUACUUGCGGGAAGUCUUCUCUAAAGAAGAAACACUUUAAGAAGUUCUGGUUAAAGAAAUCCAAACAUGGCCACAAGCACUUCCAAAGAAAGAAGAAAUUGCGAUACCUUCGCAAGAGGAAAGAUCGCAUGGGCCAUAAAAAAUCAAAUCACUGCUUUAUCUGCAACCAGAAAGGGCAUUUUGCCAAAAAUUGCCCCAAGCUAGAAAAGGUCAGCAUCAUUUGAUACAUCAAAUUAAGAAUGAAACAGGUAUUUAUCUUUAAAAUGAUGAUAUCGAAUCACUAUUCUCUGUUGAUGAAAAAUCAGGUGAACAAACUUUUUGUGUCGUUCCAUGUUACCCCACUUCUAGUGAAAUUGAGUCAAAUUCUAAGUUUGAAGAUAUUUUUCAUAUAUCAUCUACAUCUCCAAAACCAAGCUUUGACAUAUUUUCGAGCUAGACUCAUUAUCCCCAUUUCCUUGUAAAAAUCCUUACCUUAAAGUUUGUCAAACCAAUUACUAUCAUUGCUCUCAUCAAUACUAGAGCAAGUUGUUCAAUAUUUGACACCAAAGUUCUUCCUGAAGAAUUCUGGACUCUUUAUAUCCGAUAUUUCAAUUCUGUCUCAGGAGAUACUUUCUCCACAAAUGUCAGAACCACCCCCAUAACUGUCCAGUUCUUCGCCUAGUGUUCAAUAUCCACAAAGAUCUUUGGAUCUAGUCUUCCCAACAAAGACUUAAUCAUUGGUUGGGACAUCAUGACUCAAAUUUCUCAACUUCGAAUCAUUCCUGGAAAAGAUCUUAGGUAUAAAGAUCAAUUCUCUGAGUUCGUCAAUAUUCAGAAACUAUUUUCUAUUCAAAUGAGUUUAUUAGAUCCAAUCAUGUAAAAAUUAUUGGAAUCUUGUUCAGAAUCCCAUUAUCAAUUCGCUCAGAAAUGUUCUCAUCCUCUAUUAGAAAAUCCAAAGUUUUUUGUUCGUCUUCCAUUAAAAAAGAACGAAGACAUCAAUCCAACAAAGGCGAGUCAUAUGGGAAUGAAGUCAGAACACUUGGCUUUAGCUCAAAGGGAAUGCUCAGAACUAUUGUAGUAAGGCCUUAUUGAAACCUCCAAUUCUCAAUGGGCUUGUAAAGCAUUUUAUGUCAAUAAGUGUGCCGAGCAAAACAAGGGAAAAAUGAGGCUAGUGAUCAACUAUCAACCCCUCAACAUUUUUUUCCAAUAUAAUAAAUUCCCUUUACCCUCCAGAGAUUCCCUCUUUAUUGGUCUAACCAAUGCCCACAUUUAUUCCAAAUUUGACCUCUUAUCGCCUAUAAAAAGUGAGGAGGGUGUAAUGUGUUGGGCAGAAUCCCUUGAAGUAAAGUGUGUGCUUUGUGAAAAAAAACCUCUCUAUGGCUUUCUAAAUUCAUCUUCUUCUCCAGCCCGAUAGAAUCCUCCAAGAAAUGCAGCUUGGGUAGGUUAAAAACGUUUCUAUCCUAACAUCUUUGAGUGUCUCUAGACUCUGAACUAAAGGGCUGAGUGGUGUUUUACUAAAAGACUGUCCCUGAAGGGCUUGAACGGGUUGUUCACCCACUGUGGAAUGCAUACCUAUAGAAAAUUUACUCUCCUUCCCCGAUUCUAAGUCUAGGACCAAUGAUCAAAUAUUUGAUAUUUUCACUAAGUCUUUUUAGGCAGUAGUAAAGUUAAGUAUAUUUAUAACAAGUUAGGCAUGCUCCAUCCUGAGAGAGAGUGUUAAAGUAUCAGAGGAUUAUUAUAGUUAUUAACACUAAGAAGGUUAUUAUAAUCAUCUGGGAUACACAUGAUAACUAUUCUUUUUCUUUGUUUUUCUAUCUUUCUAUUUCCAGAAACAAGUUUGGAAUAAAAAAUGUGUUUAUCCAUUUGAUAAUGUAAUUUCAUUUUUCUAUUUCUAAAAUAAAUUUUAACUCCAUAAAUAGGUUGGGAAAAAAUGAGUGAAAAUUUUAUACUUUUCUAUUUUUAGAACAAAAAUGAAAAAUAAAAACUCUUCUCGAUUGUCGUCAGUUGUCUCACCAGUUGCCUGCCACCACCCCACUCAUUGUUGGUCGCUCGCCUCCGGUCAUCAUUGCCCGCCUACCUCUCAUCACCACUUGGGAAGAAGAAAUUUUGCAUUAUUAUUAAACAAAUUUCUAUUCUAAGAAUAUAAAUUUUAUGAUUGUAAAAUAGAUAUUUUUGCUCAGAAAUUGAAGCCAAAUUUGGUAACAUUUCUAUUCCUCUAUUUUUAUGUUCUUUUGUUCCCCAUAAAAAGUCCACUUCAAGCUCUUAUUUGAAAAAUUAAUGACAUUUCGGAUCUUUAUUUAAGAAAAUGAUGACACUUCAAGCCCUUAUUAAGAAAUCUAUGUCUAAAUAGAAACUGUUCCCGUUAACGUAAUCAAAUACCACCGAAAUGGCCAGAAAUAAAUUUCUGAAACAGAAUGUUUAUCAUUCGACCCUAAGUCUUAUUUAACUAAUAUUAAAAGUGCGAGUGGCAAACAUUAAUCAGUUUGUAUGCUCUCCUCUUGUCCCCUAUCAAUUUCUACACUAAGAAAGAAGAAAAAUUUUAAUAUAGUAGAUGACAACUACUAAUAACAGCAGCGCCCAAGCUGCAUUCCGGAGUUGGAUGUUGGAACGCCUUUGAUGAGUCUGCAGUUGCCAAGGAAGCUGCUGCUUAGCCUGCUGUAGCUGCUGCUGCAGAAGCUGUUGUUUGAGUUGCUGCUGCAUUUGAGGUUGCUGAUAUUGUUGCUUAAGCUGCUGUGUCUGUAGCAUCUGUUGUUCCUGUUGCUGUUUGAGAGGCUGACAUUGAAGCAUAUUGGAAUUAGACUGAUGUUUGUUGACAUUUGAUUGUAACAUGUAUACCCCACCCUGUUGCUGCAUGGUGCUCAUAUUCACCUGUUGUGGAGCAACAGGAUUCUGCUGCAUAGAUCCCAUACCAAUUACCUGCAUUGUACUCGAGGCAUUACCUGUUCCAGAGUCCAUAUUGGAAUUCGGCUGUAGGGAAUCAAUCAUGGUUUGCUGUGCAUUUGAAACCCCAGACAAAGACAUGGAAUAAUGAUUCAAAUUUCCCAUAUUGUUCUGCUGCAUUGAUGCUACAGAACCUUGUAAAUUCAUUGAUUCUAAUUGAGGGUUCAUUUGAUUUUCAUGUGACUGCACUUGAGUAGUUUGAGGUUGCAAUUGCUGCUGCUGCUGCUGCUGCUGCUGCUGCUGCUGCUGCAUUGAGUGCACACGAGGAGGGGCAAGUUGCCCUUGCUGAAUAGCUACUUUCCUGGGCCUACUUGUGUUGAUAAAGUUUAUAAUCUGUUUCUCAUAAUGAACCAGCUUCUCCUUGAAAGAAGGCACUAUAUCAGCUUUGUUAACUUGCAAAAAAGCAAUUAUGCGCUCCAAUAUCAAUUUAAAAUUUUUCAAAUUGUCAAGCUGAUCUGACUUUGGCUGUAGCGGAAGAGACUCAUGCUGCAAUGUAUAAGAAUAACAUAUGAUAAGAAAGAGAUCAAAGAGGAUGAUAGAUCAUUUAAAGAUUAAAAAUCAAUUACUAGUCUGCCUUUCUUAAGAAAUGUUUACUCCAUGUGACAAAUUAGGAAAGAAUCAAAAUUAAGCAAUAACUUUCUCGGAAUGCUCCCAAUAGCAGACUUUAUUCACAUACCUGCUGUAACUUGAUAGAUAUUUUCUGGUACAUCUCAUUCAAUUCAGGUAAAUAUGCUUCCCUCAUGGAUUUCAACUGCAACAAAAAUUAGUGUAUUGAUCAAUCCGAACUCCUCCCAGGUCGUUUUCUUCUACCAGUCAAAUAACAUAAAUCUUCCAAUACUUUAUUGAGAAAAAUAACUGCAGACACUCACAUUACCAGCAGACAACUUACAGUAAGUUCCACUGAUAGUAUUUCACCAAGGCUAAUUAUCAUAUGAUCUAUACAUUUUUUGCUACAAUCAUCUUCCAAGAGCAACGAAACAUGAAAAAAAGGAACAGGAAGAAGAAUGAAAGAGAGGACAAAAUGACUUUGCAUUUUCGAAUUACUGGAAACAGAUAAACGCAUGUUAGUACUCACAAUAAAUAUCUAAAUAAAGCUCAACUCUUAUAUCCAACUAGACCGCAUCAGUGUCAUUUAUGCAUAAGCCAAGUAUGAAGAAUAAUAAAGAUUAGCAACUUGCAUAAAGCUACUGUUUCAUCAGAAUGCCAACCACCACCUGGAUAACAUUAAAAAAAGCAAGUAAAACAGGAAAAGGAGAUUGGCUGACACGGACAAAAUUAUGGCAAUUUCCACAUUAAGACAUCAAUGGCUUUAUCUUUUAUUACUCCUUAAUAAAGGAAAAACAGCAAUCUUAACGCAACACAGAAACAUUCUUAAGAAAACACGAUUCAGUAGUUAAAUGACUUCUCUUUCCAUUUCACAAAACUACUCUUUUUCCCUCUUCAUAAUGUCGUGAGAAAAAGGGGAAUGCCGAUCAGAAACCACUCUGUGGCAACUUCUCAUGCUUAACUUACAGAUUAAUAGCAGCAUUAUCGAUACCUGAUCCUCACAACAUAUAAGCUUGGCUAGACAUUGCAGUUUUUAAUAACAAGAAUUGUUAGAUAAAUGUUAAUGCGACUGGCCUGGAGUCACUACGUAAAUAGAAAUUCACCUUUGGUGGAGGGAUUCCUAGGUUUACAAACCAUAAGCACCUGUCCAUACUACACUACGUAAAGAAUUGGCUAACGAAAUUCCACUCAAGGGCUUUCAAAUUUCUCUGAUUUAAAUUCCUGUCACCAAAAUGUAUGAUGUUAUACAAAUUCUAGCAAGGGAAUUGGCUCCUGUUCAGCAGUUCUUAUUGUCAUACUAGUUAGUGCACGAGGCCACAUUACUAUCCCCAAAUUAUAGUUCAUUAUGCAACUUCCCCACAUUCUGAUACUUUGGACAAAAGAUUAUGCUGUCGACAUUCUGUUGCCAAAUACCCAUUUCUGUCUCACAGCUAUAUUUGCUAUCGAGUCAAUAUUCAAACCAAUAUCUCAUGUGAAUGAAUUCCUUUCCCUGGCUAGACCUCAUAAAACUACUAAUACUCUUAUCUGUGCCUUUGUACAUUUGUAUCCUACUAAAUCAUAUAUGUAAAGUCUAGCAAGAAAGGUCAGUCAUCAACAAACUAUUAAAACCUGUAGAAAAAUAUGAGAAGUAUCACACAUAAUACAUGCAUUCCAUAAAAUUUAAAGAAUAAAACAAAACAGUGGUACAAAACCUUUUGGUAAGCCUCCUCUUGCCAGUCACCCCCGGCCGAAUGCCCCAUUUGGGCAGAGCUAUCAGUAGACACUACAAAAGUAGAAGAAUAACUCUUCAUGGACUGUGUUGACUGUGGAAUUGAAGACUGUUGAUUUUGUUGGAGACCAGCUAGAGGAGCUGGUUGCAUUGAGGGCGGCUGCAUGACAGAAGAUGUUUGGAGGACAGACUGCCGAGAAGCCUGCAGCUGAGUUGGCUGUAGCAUAUUCUGUUGCUGCUGUUGCUGCUGCUGUUGUUGGAAUUGAGAUGACAUGAGCAAAUGUGGGACUGGCUGAAGCUUCUGCUUCAAAGCUGCUGUUGGUAUUGCUGCUGCUGGUAAAUAUACUGCUGUGAAUUCUGAGACUGUUGUUGUUGCUGUAGGGAAACCAUCUGUUGCCUAGCUUGAAGUUGCUGAGAAUUUACGAACAUGUUGCUAUUGACACCUUGGCCCAUUGAGUUCCCCAGUGAGUUCUGAGAAACACUAGGCAUAUUUUGCAUGUUGUUGUUUUGUCCAAUAGUAUUCGGGAUGGAAGAUUGGUUCAAGCCAGAGACAGAUGGCAAUGUAGACGACAGACUGGCUGAAGCCUGAACUCCAGAUGGAACAUUAUUCUGAAUAUUCUGAACCAAUAACUGUUGGCGUGCUUGAGGCUGAUUCACAGCUAAGGAAUUAGGAAUUGAUUGGCUUUGAUUUUGAAUUUGUGACUGCAUAACUUGAGAUGACAUACAAUAUAUACAAGUUAUGUUAGUCAAUCAAGAAACCAACCAAUUCAGUACAGCGGCAUUAACUACAAAUAGCACGAAGAGACAAUGAAUGAGAGAUAAAUGCACCACAAGUACGACCUUAGACCAUUAUGUAUUCCAACUUGAAAUUUUCUGAGCAAGUGAUACUGGAUGGAUAAUGGACAUGCAAACACAGACAAACAAUGACCACUCAUUUUCUUUUCAACAAAUACUAAAUAAAAGUCUUUGUGAAAUUUAUGUACUUGAAUUGAUCUUGAAAUUUACAAAAAUAAAUAAAUAAAGGACAAAGGUAAUCAUCUUUUCAAGCACACAUCUUCUGAUGCCAUAGGAGACUCACUUUAACAAAGAAGAAAGAUAAAAUUUGAGGCCAAAAAAGUGGGAGGAAGUUACAAAAGAUGCAAGCAGUUGUCCCUCUCUAGUAAAACUUAAGUCUUGCUGCCACUCUUUGAAAAACUUGCUCUUCACAAAUGCAAAUCUAAUUCUACUGACAAAACAAACUGAUUUUUAGUUCUUUAAUCAAUAUAUUACAAAUUUAAAAGGGAUAUUCAAAUGUGCCACUGCCCAUGGUAUAAACGUGCAUUUGAGGUUACAAAUGAGCAAGAUUGGAAAAAAUUUAUUAAAUUCAGGUUACUACAAUGAAAAUCCACAAGCAGCAUGGCUUGUAGUGAGUAUACAUGUGUACUGUGUAAAGCCCAGUAAAAGCAACAACAGGGCAAGUCCUAAAAUGUGUUAUGCUAAUGCACUUAAGUCCUAAAUUUUCAUUUUGUGCAUUUAAGCAUAAAACUUGUAAAUGUCGAUGCCCUUUAGUCAUUCCAUUAACUCCGUCAAUUUUAAGUCGGAUGGAAGAUUUCACAUGGCUUUCUUUUACGGUUUUCUUAAGCCAAAGUGGCUGUUGAUAUUAUAAAAAAAAAGGACACCUAGAUUUUCUGCCCACUAAAACCUAAUGCAGACAACAGAGCUAACAGAAGACCUAAAGUAAAUGACUAUCACAAGUCUUAGGACUUAAGUGCACAAAAUAAAAGUUUUAGGACUCAAAUGCCUCUAUCAUAACAAGUUUCAAGACUCCUGUUGUAAUGUCCCCCAAAAACUAUGUAUACGAAAAAAUAGUACAAUUACAUAAAUGAAUAAACACUAUAUGAGGGGAUAACAAAAUGAAAAUUCUAAUUCCUACAUUAAUGAUACCAAAUAACAGGAACUUAAGUCGUACCCGGGUCAUUACUGCUAUUCCCAGCAGGGUUAGAUGGCGAAGCAUUAGGUAUGGUAUUCUGAGACUUUGUCUCCAUUGUCAGCAUCUUCAAAGAUAUCUUCCUUAAAUAAUCGGACUAAAAGGGAAAGGAAGCAGAAAUCACUUCAUCACUUAAUCAAAUUGGAAAGAAAAUGAAGCAUAUAUAAAACCUUAGCACAAUAUUACAGCAAUGAGUAAACCUAAUUUCCCUGGGGC